rnacentral:rRNA from 1 species
UUUAUCAAAAACAUGGCUCUUUGGUAAUAUUAAUAUAAAGAGUCGGACCUGCCCAGUGAAAUAAAUUUUUAACGGCCGCAGUACCCUGACUGUGCAAAGGUAGCAUAAUAAUUUGCUCUAUAAUUGAGGGCUAGAAUGAAUGGUUUGACAAGAGUGAUUCUGUCUCUUUAUAAUUUUAUAAAAUUUAAUUUUCAGAUGAAGAAGUCUGAAUAAUAUUAAAAGACAAGAAGACCCUAUCGAGCUUAAAAUAAAUUAAUAAAUUUAAAAUAAUUAAUAAAAAAUAUUAUUAUUAAAAAUUUUAGUUGGGGCAACUAAGGAACAAAGAAAACUUCCUUUAAAAUAAAAUUGAUAUUAUAAAUUAUGAUCCAAAAAUUUUGAUUAAAAAAAUUAGUUACCGUAGGGAUAACAGCAUAAUUUUUUUUAAGAGUUCUUAUCGAAAAAAAAGUUUGUGACCUCGAUGUUGGACCAGAAUAUCCUAAAGAUGCAGAAGUCUUUAAGGGUUGGUCUGUUCGACCAUUAAAAUUCUACGUGAUCUGAGUUCAGACCGGCGUGAGCCAGGUCAGUUUCUAUCUAUAAUUAUUAUUUUAAAUUUAGUACGAAAGGACCAGUUUAAAAAUAUAAAAUAUUUGUUAUGAAAAAAUAUAAUAUUUUAAGUAAUGUUAAAUUAGCAAACAUUAACUGUAAUCGAUUUCGGAUCCAUAGAUAUAGGGGAAAGUCCUUUA